CGGACGGGUGAGUAACGCGUGGGUAACCUGCCCUGUACAGGGGGACAACAGUUAGAAAUGGCUGCUAAUACCGCAUAAGCGCACAGCUUCGCAUGAAGCAGUGUGAAAAACUCCGGUGGUAUACGAUGGAUCCGCGUCUGAUUAGCUUGUUGGCGGGGUAAAGGCCCACCAAGGCGACGAUCAGUAGCCGGCCUGAGAGGGUGAACGGCCACAUUGGGACUGAGACACGGCCCAAACUCCUACGGAAGGCAGCAG
rnacentral:rRNA from 1 species